rnacentral:rRNA from 1 species
GAUGAACGCUGGCGGCGUGCCUAAUACAUGCAAGUCGAGCGAACGGACGAGAAGCUUGCUUCUCUGAUGUUAGCGGCGGACGGGUGAGUAACACGUGGAUAACCUACCUAUAAGACUGGGAUAACUUCGGGAAACCGGAGCUAAUACCGGAUAAUAUUUUGAACCGCAUGGUUCAAAAGUGAAAGACGGUCUUGCUGUCACUUAUAGAUGGAUCCGCGCUGCAUUAGCUAGUUGGUAAGGUAACGGCUUACCAAGGCAACGAUGCAUAGCCGACCUGAGAGGGGGAUCGGCCACACUGGAACUGAGACACGGUCCAGACUCCUACGGGAGGCAGCAGUAGGGAAUCUUACGCAAUGGGCGAGAGCCUGACGCAGCAACGCCGCGUGAGAGAUGAAGGUCUUCGGAUCGUAAAACUCUGUUAUUAGGGAAGAACAUAUGUGUAAGUAACUGUGCACAUCUUGACGGUACCUAAUCAGAAAGCCCCGGCUAACUACGUG